AGCAGGACAGGUAAUCGCGGCUGCAUGUGCCGAAAGGCCGCAGACGAGGAAAGUCCGGGCUUCACAGGGCAGGAUGCCGGAUAACGUCCGGUGGAGGCGACUCCAAGGAAAGUGCAACAGAAAGAAACCGCCGGCUUCGGCCGGUAAGGGUGGAAAGGCGGUGUAAGAGACCACCGCUCCCCUGGUAACAGGGGAGGCUCUGUAAACCCCAUUCGAAGCAAGACCGAACAGAAGCGAUGACGCGGCCCGCCAGCUUCAGGUUGGUCGCUGGAGGCGGCUGGCGACAGUCGUCCUAGACAGAUGAUUACCCGCGACAGAACCCGGCUCAUCGUCCUGCUC
rnacentral:RNase_P_RNA from 1 species